rnacentral:rRNA from 1 species
UUCUGGCUCAGGAUGAACGCUGGCGGCGUGCCUAAUACAUGCAAGUCGAACGGCUUUUCUAUGGAAGCUUGCUUCCACUGAGAAGAUAGUGGCGAACGGGUGAGUAACACGUGGGUAACCUGCCCAUAAGAGGGGGGAUAACAUCCGGAAACGGGUGCUAAUACCGCAUAGUUUUCUUGAUCGCAUGAUCGGGAAAGGAAAGACGGCCUUUGUGCUGUCGCUUAUGGAUGGACCCGCGGCGUAUUAGUUAGUUGGUGAGGUAACGGCUCACCAAGACGAUGAUACGUAGCCGACCUGAGAGGGUGAUCGGCCACAUUGGGACUGAGACACGGCCCAAACUCCUACGGGAGGCAGCAGUAGGGAAUCUUCCGCAAUGGACGAAAGUCUGACGGAGCAACGCCGCGUGAGUGAAAGAAGGUUUUCGGAUCGUAAAACUCUGUUGUCAGAGAAGAACAAGUUGGAGAGUAACUGCUCCAGCCUUGACGGUAUCUGACCAGAAAGCCACGGCUAACUACGUGCCAGCCGCCGC